AUGGGGCUGAAAAAUCAGGCUUUACACGUAAUGCUCGCGAAUCCUCAUCUAUCGCCCUUCAGUGUGGUAGAGCGGCCUACGCUUAGACACGACUGGAUGUUAGUUGACCACUUGAUAAUGAGAUUUAAGGUCAAGGCCAGCGAUUACGUGGAACGCGACCCUCGAGCAUCCGUGCUGAACAUGGCAAGAACGCUAGCUGAACAUUACAAUCAAGAAAGAUGUGCAGCAGAAUGUCUGAUUCUGGUGAAGGAUGGCUCGGGAGCGCAAAAGCCGGCCGUUAGAGACAACAGAGACCGCUACCCGCUCGCGCCCCACUUGGACUUCUGUAGAAGGAACGCGGACGCUAUAGAUUACGCCACCCUGAAACUCUUAUGCGACAUGGGUAUGAAGAACCAAGUGUUUCUCGUAACGGGAUGCGAAUGGGGACGCGGCGGGCCCUGUGAAUCUAACAGCGGAGACGUAGUGUUUCACUUGCACGUUACAACCGAUCACAUCGGAACUGUAGCCAGGCCUCCGGGGGUCCAGAGGGUAUUUGUGACAACGUUCGCGAAUCCAUCUCACGGGCACUUGGAGUUCCUGAAAGCUGCGUGUCAGAAAAGCGCAAGUACAGAAGCUGAUACUCUGAUGGUCGAACUAGCUAAUAUUCUUCCGGGCACUGUUACGGUAUGCACGGCAGACUCGGACGUGAUAGCCGUGUUCACGGCUUGCGGUCGCGAAGGACUCACUUUACGGUUGGCCAACAUGAGCUACAAGGGUGAUCGGCCGAUGCACGGAUCGACUUUCGCCAACCUGCUCAUGGGGUCUCCUGACACUAGCCUGUUACGGCCAAAGGAUUCGGACUUAGAAGGCCGUGAGUCUAGAUUCCGGACGCUGUACGACAUUUCGCCCGACGACGAUCACCUCCGGGAACAGUUAGAGAUUCUCCACGGAGAGUGGGAAAGUCUCGUUCUCGACGAAAGCCAAGACCCCGCGUUGCCGCAACAGCUAGCUAGGUAUUUCUAUCUGGGUGGAAUCAGAGGCUCUGUGUAUGGAGAAUUUCUGACCAGACUGUUUGAGUUAAAUCCGGACGGUAAAGCUGACGUUGCGUGCAGGAUAAUAACAACCAUACUCGUAGGGCCUCAAGGGUGGAAAUCUAAAUGUGCAUUCCUUGACAUUUUCAAGUUGUUACCCGAAUGUCACGACACAGACGACUCAGAGGCAGCUGAUGAGAAUAGGAAAACAUGCUGCGGAGAGGUCGCCGUUGAGGGCAACGGACGUACCGUCGACACCAAACGAUCGCACGCCAACUUGAACAAGCUAAGCAAGCUGUACAUGGAAGCCGUGGUGCCCCGCUUCAGUAACGGCAGAUAUCUACGACUGAAUAAAAUGGGUCCUCACCUCUAC
rnacentral:lncRNA from 1 species